CCUACGGGUGGCAGCAGUGGGGAAUAUUGGACAAUGGGCGAAAGCCUGAUCCAGCCAUGCCGCGUGUGUGAAGAAGGCCUUCGGGUUGUAAAGCACUUUCAGUGGGGAAGAAAGCCUUGGGGCUAAUACCCUCGAGGAAGGACAUCACCCACAGAAGAAGCACCGGCUAACUCCGUGCCAGCAGCCGCGGGAAUACGGAGGGUGCGAGCGUUAAUCGGAAUUACUGGGCGUAAAGCGCGCGUAGGCGGUCUGAUAAGCCGGUUGUGAAAGCCCCGGGCUCAACCUGGGAACGGCAUCCGGAACUGUCAGGCUAGAGUGCAGGAGAGGAAGGUAGAAUUCCCGGUGUAGCGGUGAAAUGCGUAGAGAUCGGGAGGAAUACCAGUGGCGAAGGCGGCCUUCUGGACUGACACUGACGCUGAGGUGCGAAAGCGUGGGUAGCAAACAGGAUUAGAUACCCGAGUAGUC
rnacentral:rRNA from 1 species